rnacentral:rRNA from 1 species
UGAGCUCGAUGAGUAGGGCGGGACACGUGGUAUCCUGUCUGAAUAUGGGGGGACCAUCCUCCAAGGCUAAAUACUCCUGACUGACCGAUAGUGAACCAGUACCGUGAGGGAAAGGCGAAAAGAACCCCGGCGAGGGGAGUGAAAAAGAACCUGAAACCGUGUACGUACAAGCAGUGGGAGCACCCUUCGGGGUGUGACUGCGUACCUUUUGUAUAAUGGGUCAGCGACUUAUAUUCUGUAGCAAGGUUAACCGAAUAGGGGAGCCGGAGGGAAACCGAGUCUUAAUUGGGCGUUAAGUUGCAGGGUAUAGACCCGAAACCCGGUGAUCUAGCCAUGGGCAGGUUGAAGGUUGGGUAACACUAACUGGAGGACCGAACCGACUAAUGUUGAAAAAUUAGCGGAUGACCUGUGGCUGGGGGUGAAAGGCCAAUCAAACCGGGAGAUAGCUGGUUCUCCCCGAAAGCUAUUUAGGUAGCGCCUCGUGAAUUCAUCUCCGGGGGUAGAGCACUGUUUCGGCUAGGGGGCCAUCCCGGCUUACCAACCCGAUGCAAACUGCGAAUACCGGAGAAUGUUAUCACGGGAGACACACGGCGGGUGCUAACGUCCGUCGUGAAGAGGGAAACAACCCAGACCGCCAGCUAAGGUCCCAAAGUCAUGGUUAAGUGGGAAACGAUGUGGGAAGGCCCAGACAGCCAGGAUGUUGGCUUAGAAGCAGCCAUCAUUUAAAGAAAGCGUAAUAGCUCACUGGUCGAGUCGGCCUGCGCGGAAGAUGUAACGGGGCUAAACCAUGCACCGAAGCUGCGGCAGCGACACUGUGUGUUGUUGGGUAGGGGAGCGUUCUGUAAGCCUGUGAAGGUGUGUCGUGAGGCAUGCUGGAGGUAUCAGAAGUGCGAAUGCUGACAUAAGUAACGAUAAAGCGGGUGAAAAGCCCGCUCGCCGGAAGACCAAGGGUUCCUGUCCAACGUUAAUCGGGGCAGGGUGAGUCGACCCCUAAGGCGAGGCCGAAAGGCGUAGUCGAUGGGAAACGGGUUAAUAUUCCCGUACUUGGUGUUACUGCGAAGGGGGGACGGAGAAGGCUAUGUUGGCCGGGCGACGGUUGUCCCGGUUUAAGCGUGUAGGUGUGUGUUCCAGGUAAAUCCGGUUCACUUUAACACUGAGGCGUGACGACGAGGCACUACGGUGCUGAAGCAACAAAUGCCCUGCUUCCAGGAAAAGCCUCUAAGCAUCAGGUAACAUCAAAUCGUACCCCAAACCGACACAGGUGGUCAGGUAGAGAAUACCAAGGCGCUUGAGAGAACUCGGGUGAAGGAACUAGGCAAAAUGGUGCCGUAACUUCGGGAGAAGGCACGCUGACACGUAGGUGAAGUGAUUUACUCAUGGAGCUGAAGUCAGUCGAAGAUACCAGCUGGCUGCAACUGUUUAUUAAAAACACAGCACUGUGCAAACACGAAAGUGGACGUAUACGGUGUGACGCCUGCCCGGUGCCGGAAGGUUAAUUGAUGGGGUCAGCGCAAGCGAAGCUCCUGAUCGAAGCCCCGGUAAACGGCGGCCGUAACUAUAACGGUCCUAAGGUAGCGAAAUUCCUUGUCGGGUAAGUUCCGACCUGCACGAAUGGCGUAAUGAUGGCCAGGCUGUCUCCACCCGAGACUCAGUGAAAUUGAACUCGCUGUGAAGAUGCAGUGUACCCGCGGCAAGACGGAAAGACCCCGUGAACCUUUACUAUAGCUUGACACUGAACAUUGAGCCUUGAUGUGUAGGAUAGGUGGGAGGCUUUGAAGCGUGGACGCCAGUCUGCGUGGAGCCGACCUUGAAAUACCACCCUUUAAUGUUUGAUGUUCUAACGUGGACCCGUGAUCCGGGUUGCGGACAGUGUCUGGUGGGUAGUUUGACUGGGGCGGUCUCCUCCUAAAGAGUAACGGAGGAGCACGAAGGUUGGCUAAUCCUGGUCGGACAUCAGGAGGUUAGUGCAAUGGCAUAAGCCAGCUUGACUGCGAGCGUGACGGCGCGAGCAGGUGCGAAAGCAGGUCAUAGUGAUCCGGUGGUUCUGAAUGGAAGGGCCAUCGCUCAACGGAUAAAAGGUACUCCGGGGAUAACAGGCUGAUACCGCCCAAGAGUUCAUAUCGACGGCGGUGUUUGGCACCUCGAUGUCGGCUCAUCACAUCCUGGGGCUGAAGUAGGUCCCAAGGGUAUGGCUGUUCGCCAUUUAAAGUGGUACGCGAGCUGGGUUUAGAACGUCGUGAGACAGUUCGGUCCCUAUCUGCCGUGGGCGCUGGAGAACUGAGGGGGGCUGCUCCUAGUACGAGAGGACCGGAGUGGACGCAUCACUGGUGUUCGGGUUGUCAUGCCAAUGGCACUGCCCGGUAGCUAAAUGCGGAAGAGAUAAGUGCUGAAAGCAUCUAAGCACGA